GCUCCAGAGGAUAGCUCAGUUGGUAGAGCAUGAGACUCUUAAGCUCAGGAUCAUUCGUUCAAGUCCCAUGUUGGGUG